UUGCAGUCAGUGACUGCUGCUAUGGUUUCCACUAUAAAUGCAAGAAAAAGAAGUCCUCCCACUUUCUGGCUGGCUGGCUGUGGCAGCCAAGACUGAAUGGGGGAAUACAGGA
rnacentral:snoRNA from 1 species